GUUCCUGCCCAAGGCGGGCUCGGACUUGUCCACCAGGUAUAAGCAGGAUAAGCAUAUCUUUUUGGCAAGAUAGGCAGAAAUAGAACUCUCAGCAUUUCAUCCUGGGAAGGAGCCAUAUGUUUAUAUCUUGGAUUGCUUGUUAUGGCAUCAUCUUAGGUGGCUGAAGCUGUAUGAGUCUUGCAGCAGACCUGGCAUUUGGACUAAAAGCUUCUUACAGAUAAAUGCAGGAAGGACAUUCCAGGAGGAAGGGUCAUCACAGAAGAUUUCUGUCAUUUAUCUGAGAGGCAGACAUGACAGAAUUACAGGUUUAUAUCACAGCCAAAGCAGUGGAGAGGCAGCGUUGUGGGACAGAAGAGUUAACAGAUGCAGAACAGUGAAAGACCUUGAUGUACAGAAAACUGAAGAUUUGUCUACAUAAUAAAAUGGACCUGGUGUAGAAGUCCCACAACUAGUGGAAACUCAUGCCAUUAAGUCCAGACUGUAUGUGUAACACAGCACUGUGCCAUAGUGACCUGUCACUGCAUUUUCUCAGCAGGUCUUAUUAGCUUGGGCACAGCACUGUCUAAUAUGGGAAUAGUUCAUCAGAUGUGAGCUGGCUUGGGUCCAGGCAGCUCAGUGUAUCUGUGUAUCACACGCCCCAGCGUACCAGUUCUGGGAUUAGCUUGGACAGCCCUCGCUUGGGUCUGCUUUAAUCGGUUGAUAAAUGAUAAGAAGCCCUCAUUGCUGCUCUUAUUCAACUAAUCUCCAGUUUAAUAAAGAAAGUUCCUUCUGAUGAUCAGACAGGUCUUUUCCUUUAAAAAAAAAAAAAUCAUCCCAGUAUAAAUUAAUUGCCUUCCAAAAAUGGAGCAAAGUCCUUUGAACAAGAGACAUCCUGGCAAGCCAAGCAACUGUGUGUUUUGUUGCCAUUUGAGGGGACUUGUGCUGAAAUCCCAGCUUCUGCUGCCUUUCUCCUGCUAAGGAAGAAGUACCUCAUAUCACAAACCAGCAGCCCCUUCAGGCAAUUGCCAUUUAAAGAGUGGCAUUGAUGGACUCUGUAAGGAGUCCUAUUCAGUGCUCUCUAGCUGGCAGCAUGAUGUCAGUGAUGUGGGCGGCAGACCCCUGAAUUUGCUUUGAUGGUAUUUGUGCUCUUUUUUUUUCAUUUUUCACGAAUGAGUGAUUCAUUUCUUUGAAACAAUGUGUUUGGAAAGCCUGCCCCGCUAAGGAAUUGUCUACGCAGUGGGGGAGGCUCGGAACAUUGUAUGUCCUCAUAGAGGUACCAACAGGGGUUGUGCCAGAUCCCCAGUGCAAGAGGUAACAGGGAUACUUGUCUCAAAGCCAAAGCUUCAUGAAUCAAAGGCGCUGACUCUCGAGCACAAGUGCCAGCAUUUGGGCAGAUAACCUAGUCCAUGCCAAUUUAGGGUGAGAGGAAUGCCCCAGACUAAUCCUGUGGAUUCAAAGAAA